rnacentral:rRNA from 1 species
CAGCAGCCGCGGUAAUACGUAGGGGGCGAGCGUUGUCCGGAAUUAUUGGGCGUAAAGCGCGCGCAGGCGGUCCCUUAAGUCUGAUGUGAAAGCCCACGGCUCAACCGUGGAGGGUCAUUGGAAACUGGGGGACUUGAGUGCAGAAGAGGAGAGCGGAAUUCCACGUGUAGCGGUGAAAUGCGUAGAGAUGUGGAGGAACACCAGUGGCGAAGGCGGCUCUCUGGUCUGUAACUGACGCUGAGGCGCGAAAGCGUGGGGAGCAAACAGGAUUAGAGACCCUGGUAGUCCACGCCGUAAACGAUGAGUGCUAAGUGUUAGAGGGGUUAAACCCUUUAGUGCUGUAGCUAACGCGUUAAGCACUCCGCCUGGGGAGUACGGCCGCAAGGCUGAACCUUAAAGGAAUUGGCGGG